rnacentral:rRNA from 1 species
GAUGAACGCUAGCGGCAGGCCUAAUACAUGCAAGUCGAACGAGAUUAAGAGGCUUGCUUCUUAUGAAAGUGGCGCACGGGUGCGUAACGCGUAUGCAACCUACCUUAAUCAGGGGGAUAGCCCGAAGAAAUUCGGAUUAAGACCGCAUAAAAACACAGGAUAGCAUUAUCCAAUGUUCAAAUAUUUAUAGGAUUAAGAUGGGCAUGCGUGUCAUUAGCUAGUUGGCGGGGUAACGGCCCACCAAGGCGACGAUGACUAGGGGAUCUGAGAGGAUGACCCCCCGCACUGGUACUGAGACACGGACCAGACUCCUACGGGAGGCAGCAGUAAGGAAUAUUGGUCAAUGGAGGGAACUCUGAACCAGCCAUGCCGCGUGCAGGAAGACAGCCCUCUGGGUCGUAAACUGCUUUUAGUCGGGAAUAAACCUUUCUACGUGUAGGAAGCUGAAUGUACCGAAGGAAUAAGGAUCGGCUAACUCCGUG